CCCUCAUUCACACACCCUCAUUCACACACUAACACACUCACACUAACCCAUUCACACACUAACCCACUCGUUCACACACCCAUUCACACACUCAUCCACACAAUAACCCACCCAUUCAUGCACUAACCCACCCAUUCACACUCACCCACUCAUUCACACUAACCCACUCAUUCACACACUACCUCACCCAUUCACACUAACCCACUCGUUCACACACCCAUUCACACUCACCCACUCAUUUGCACACUAACUCACCCACUCAUUCACACUAACCCACUCGUUCACACACUAACUCAUCCACUCAUUCACAC
rnacentral:lncRNA from 1 species